GUCUACGGCCAUACCACCCUGAACGCGCCCGAUCUCGUCUGAUCUCGGAAGCUAAGCAGGGUCGGGCCUGGUUAGUACUUGGAUGGGAGAAAGUACAUCCCCAGCAAGUCUCUAGAAAUAGAAA
rfam:Otolemur garnettii contig170552, whole genome shotgun sequence.